GGCUCAGUUGCUUAGUUGGUAAAGCACUUGUCUAGUAAAUAAGAGUCGUGAGUUCAAAUCUCACCUGAGCUG